rnacentral:rRNA from 1 species
GAUGAACGCUGGCGGCGUGCUUAACACAUGCAAGUCGAACGGUGAAGGCGGAGCUUGCUCUGCUGGAUCAGUGGCGAACGGGUGAGUAACACGUGAGCAAUCUGCCCCUGACUCUGGGAUAAGCGCUGGAAACGGCGUCUAAUACUGGAUACGAGCUGCGAAGGCAUCUUCAGCAGCUGGAAAGAAUUUCGGUCAGGGAUGAGCUCGCGGCCUAUCAGCUUGUUGGUGAGGUAAUGGCUCACCAAGGCGUCGACGGGUAGCCGGCCUGAGAGGGUGACCGGCCCCACUGGGACUGAGACACGGCCCAGACUCCUACGGGGGGCAGCAGUGGGGAAUAUUGCACAAUGGGCGAAAGCCUGAUGCAGCAACGCCGCGUGAGGGACGACGGCCUUCGGGUUGUAAACCUCUUUUAGCAGGGAAGAAGCGAAAGUGACGGUACCUGCAGAAAAAGCGCCGGCUAACUACGUG